rnacentral:lncRNA from 10 species
UUUAUUGUUCAUGUGUACAAUUGGAAAAAAUAUUCUUCAAUCCAAUCAUGAUCAGCACCAAGCUAUGAUUGCUAUGGAGUUUCAUUUAAAUCAGAGAAAAGGGGGAGAUGUAGAGAGACCCCCUGAAACUAUUGCUAUGGAAUGAAAGAUGAAAUGCUCCUGAUUAUUAUAAAUACAAAAUUGCAUGCAGGAUGGUGUAAAGACAACGCCAGGUUGGGCUGCCAGAAUGAGCCGACAGCACAUGAUGUGCUUCCCCCUGCAGAGAGUCUAAGAAUGGACGUGCAGUCAGGGAGGUUUCACAUCACCAAGAUUCCUAUCCCAGAAAAGCAGAUGUUCAUAGCACUGGCAACCCUUGUGGAGAGCCUAUAAAUGGAUGCAUGAGGGGUGCCUGUUUAUAUGCCCUUAUCUUGCCAUGGCUCUUUUAAGCCUCUUUAGGGUUAAGGCAUACUCCCUUCUGAGAAUUUCUGGUCUAACUGGUUGUCUAGCUUCAUGUCCUGUUUCUUUGAUUGCUUGUAACCAGAUUUUGCUGCCACUGUUACUGCUGAUUAGUAUCUUGCUAAUCAUAGGUUAUGGAAAGACUGUAUUUCUGUUUUAAGGCUCUGUUAGAAAUUACUGAUGCACACACUAUAUUGUAAAUUCUUAUCUCUGUAUACUGUACUUCUGCAUACAGAUAUUAUGUUUAAGAAUUACUCUAUCCCCAUGUGACCAUUUCACCUCAUAAUCAAAUGACCCUAAAUCCCUCACUAACCUACCCCCGCCCUCACUAAACUUAAUAAUAAAUGCUGGCAUAUCCAGUGCAUUGGUGGCAUCGCAGGACCAGAAGGCGGUGACCCCCCUGGACCCAGCUUUCACUAUCUUGUAUGUGUCUAUUAUUUCUAGACCUGCUGAUCUGCCUGGGAACAAAGAAAGAGUCCCAUUGCAUUGCGGGUUGCUGGCCAGAUCCCGCAAUACAGUACUGCUUUAGAAACAAAGUAACAGAACAAAAAUAAAAGGGAAUAGAGUUCUCCACUUCUGUAUAGUGGGUGGUGGGCAGGGGAACACUGAGAUCUGUAGAGAAGAGAGGCUCCUUCAUUGCAUGUAUAGCGGGGUGUCAGUGCCCCAGAGAAAGCAAUGGUUUCCAGAUGGAAGCUGAUGGACAGAUGCUGGAAGCAUUGGCAGAGCAUCUUCAUGGAGGAAGCAAAGAACUUUUGUGGACACAAAAAAGAAGGUCAUGGGAAGAUAUGCAAGGAAGAAGUCCAUGUGAAGACGGAGGCAGAGAUGAGAGUGAUUUACAAGUAUCUACAAGCCCAGGAACACCAAGGAUUGCCAGCAACCACCAGCAGCUAGGAGAGAAUGCAUGUGAGUUACUCCCUCAGAGGCUCCAGAAGGAACAAAUCUACUGACGCUUGGAUUUCAGACUUCUAGCCUCUAUAACUGUGACAAAUAAAUUUCUGUUGUUAUUAUCUGCCCAGUUUGUGGUACUUUGUUAUGGCAGUCCUAGGAAACUAAUACAUCCCGUUAAAGAAAAUAUGCAAUAUAAGGACAUUUUAUAUUCAGUUUAACUGUACUGUAACACCAACAUUUUUGCCUUUGCUGACUAACAUUACUGAAAGCAACUAACACUUGUUGAACAUUUACAAAUUUCUAAGCAAUAUACAUUAAUAAUCCUUACAAUUACUGAAGAAUUGGCGUUAUUAUUUCUAGCUUGCAGAUUAAGAUAUUUUUGUGAAAAAGGGGCAGGAGUCUGACGGUACUAAGUAGGAGAGCCAGUAUGUUAAUUAAUUUCUAUUUAAUUCCAGUGUUCAUCAUCUAUCUAUUAAUUUACAGUGAGAGUAAAAUGAAUUAUUCUAACAUAUAACAAAAUUUUAAAUCACACUGAACAAUAGAAAGAGCAUUUACCCUUUAUCAGUGUGCAAUCUAUGUGUAUUUAAUUUUCUUCUCCAAGCCUGCUAGGUGUUGCCCAUUGUGUCAUCAAUCAGGAUGAGUUUACAAAUUCAUUUAGAAGUACAGGCACAUUCAAGUGUGCCAUAUAGUCAAUUUCUUUUUCAAUGAACGUUCUCUUUGACACCUCAAAGCUUUUAUGUUUAAGCAAGCCUAAUGACAACACCAUUACUUCAGGUAUUGACCAAAACUUGUACACGGAAGAGCAAUAGAGAGGUUCUCCUAAACAUGCCAUUACAAAGUGGAAGCAGCUGAACAAAUUCAUCACUCUUUCAAGUAGAGUUUUCCCUUUACCUGUGAACCUUAAUUAUAGACUGACUUACAGCAAAGUAAUACUUACUUUUUUAAUAGGAACAUCUGUUAUAAUAAUGGGGCCAGCAAUAGUGGCAUGACAGUUCAUUAAAUGUAUAAAAGAGUGUUUGGUUUGAGAAUAGAGAGUGUGUGGCUCAUCUGAAACUUAAGCGGCAUCCAACACUGGGAUUUAGACCUACUGGAUAUUUCAGGGGGAUUUGUGUAUCAGAAGACUUGAUAUGACUUUUGAGUGAGAAUUUAUUUUAAGGAAUGAGAAGGACAUAGGAACAGGCCUCCUUUAUUAACAAUACUUUAGUUUUAAGAGGAGAGGUGUGUUAGUCUGCUAGGGUCAUCAUGAUAAAGUACCAAAAACCGGGUGGUUAACACAACAGAAAUGUAUUUUCUCACAAUUCUGAAGGCUGGAAAUCUGGGAUGAGUAUUUUCAUAGGCUCUUCCUUCUUUAUAUGACUAUGACAAAAUUUCCUCUUCUGAUGAGGACACAAAUCGUAUGGCAUUAGAGCCCACCUUAGUGACCUUAUUUUAACUUAAUCAUCUCUUUAAAUACCCUAUCUCCAAAUAUAGUCACAUCUGAGGUAACCAGGGGCUAGAACAUAAAUAUAAGAAUUUUGGGGGAACACAAUUCAGCCCAUAGCAGAAAGGAUGAGUCUAAAUGCAAUAUUGUAUGUACAGAAACAUUAGUCACUAUCCCAAAUGCCCAUACAUUUAUGUCUAUUUCCUCUGGAGGGGUUGAGGGAGGUAGACUAUGAAGUAUCAUAAUAACUGUCUGAUAAAUCCUAAUAGCAAAAGUGGGAGUCAUUCUUCACAUCUGCAUUGAGCAAAGUGCCCAUGAAGAAUCUACUAGGUUGAGUGCUAAAAAUACUGAAGGAGUAAAAAAAUUUCUGUUGACACCAGCAAGAACUUGUUCCCAAAUGUUUCUUCCUGUACAUAUUCCUAAAUUCGAUUGAUAAAAAACUGCUAACCAUAAACUCAGUCCUGCUGUUCUCGCAUCUUCUCCCAUGAUUAACACAUUCUCAAUAUCCUCACACCUUUUAGGACUUUGAAUAGUUAAAACUCACUGAAAAAACUGUACUUUUCCUGACCAUCCUCAAUUUUUCUUAUAAAGCCUUUAAACUUCUUGCUCUCCAUAAAACAGUCAUGACCCAUUCCCAUGUUUCCAUGUUAUAAAAAAGUUUCGAGCUAAUGACUUUUUUUUUUUUUUCUACAAAACCACAUUGGCUCUCUGAGAUAUCCUUUGGAUCAGAGAUAGAAGUUCCUGGCAGAGGAGGACACAGUGAAAAACCCACAGAAGAUGUGACAGUGCCAGUGUCAGCGGUAGAAAUUGGGAAAGAAGAAUGAUAAGAGGAAAAAAAUUAUAAAAGGACCUCCUCAUCUCAAGAUGAAAAUCCAUCUAUUUAUUUAACACAUGUGUAUUGAGCACUUAAUACUAUUCUUGGUGCUGAUGAAUCAGCAGUUGGAGGAAAAAUAUCUCUCCACUUAGAGAGCUUAGAUUCUGUAUUUAAUUACCUCUCUUUAGGGUUUGCAUUACAGUGAUUUAACUUUGGAAAUUAUUAUCUAGUUACUUCUAUGAUUUUAUAGUGGAAGAUAGUAUAUGAGUCAUGACUUGUCCCCUUGCAAAUGAUAGAAUCUGAACUAAAAUGGGCUUUAAAAAAAGA